CAUGAGCCGGGAUAAGCUUGGUGCUACCUCUUUGUCUCUUUGUUUGUUUCUUUUCUUUGUUAUUGAAGAGUAAUGGAUAGUUUUUGAAUACUGAGAAGUGAGUCUGUAAAAUAAAUCAGAGAUUGAUUUAUGAGUUAUUGAUUAUGUAAUGGGAGUACUGAGUGAUUGAAUUAUAUGAGGAGUUAUUGAAAAAUUAUGAUUGUUGUUUAUUGAGAGUUGUGUGUGUUUUAGACAAAAGAAGUCUGUGAUUACAAAAAUUGUGUGAAUUCAGAUUGUUAGAGUGAAGUGUAUUAUUUUUGGUAUUGGAUGGAAAUUAUUGUAUUUUGAGCAGUAUUUUGAGAGUGUAGAGUUGCACAUUAUUGUUAUCAAUUUAUGAAGGAGUAUUCUUAUUGGGAGAAAGCAUCAUAGUGUUUCUUGGUAUUUUAGUGGUUUGAAAUACGGUU
rnacentral:lncRNA from 1 species